rnacentral:hammerhead_ribozyme from 1 species
AUCCAGGUGACGUGUCCCAAAUAGGACGAAAUGUUCAUCUUGGAA